rnacentral:rRNA from 1 species
UGCUCAGGAUGAACGCUAGCGGGAGGCCUAACACAUGCAAGCCGAGCGGUAGAGAUCUUUCGGGAUCUUGAGAGCGGCGUACGGGUGCGGAACACGUGUGCAACCUGCCUUUAUCUGGGGGAUAGCCUUUCGAAAGGAAGAUUAAUACCCCAUAAUAUAUCGAGUGGCAUCAUUUGAUAUUGAAAACUCCGGUGGAUAGAGAUGGGCACGCGCAAGAUUAGAUAGUUGGUGAGGUAACGGCUCACCAAGUCUGCGAUCUUUAGGGGGCCUGAGAGGGUGAUCCCCCACACUGGUACUGAGACACGGACCAGACUCCUACGGGAGGCAGCAGUGAGGAAUAUUGGACAAUGGGUGAGAGCCUGAUCCAGCCAUCCCGCGUGAAGGACGACGGCCCUAUGGGUUGUAAACUUCUUUUGUAUAGGGAUAAACCUACUCUCGUGAGAGUAGCUGAAGGUAC